UAUACAGAGGCAUUGGAUGAUAGCACAGAGAUAGUAGUGCCACAAGAUGAUUAUGGACUCUAUGCAAUUGACAUUUUGGAUCCUUCACUGAUGGUUAAGUGUGUACACUUGACCGGUGUGUACCAUUUUCAUGAUAUGAUUGAUAUGCUUGUCAAAUGUGGAUAUAAAAAGGGAACUACGUUGUUUGGUUUUGGUUAUGACUUCCGCCAAAGUAAUAGGAUUGACAAGGCAAUGAAUGACCUGAAAGAAAAAUUGGCUACAGCUUAUAAGGCUUCUGGGGGAAGAAAAGUUGAUAUUAUUUCGCAUUCCAUGGGCGGAUUGUUAAUCAAAUGUUUCAUUUCUCUUUAUAGUGAUGUAUUUUCCAAGUAUGUGAAUAAGUGGAUUACCGUUGCCACCCCAUUUCAAG
rnacentral:misc_RNA from 1 species